ensembl:lncRNA
UCUUACCAGUCUUGAAUCUGUGUGGGUAAUAACCAACCAUCUUGAGCAUCUGUCAUGUAACACUACAAUUUGGCAAUGCAUCUCAGUCUGCUUUAGAAACCAGGCCUAAAUUUAGCACCUGCCUCACACAGUCGAAAUUUGUAUUAUUGUUUCUGAUUUGAAAACAUUAAAGUAUAAUCCCAAACUUUAGAGGCAGCAGGAAACAUGGAAUGAAAUGCUAACACAUGUUGAUGACUGAAUUUGCCACCAGCAGGCUGAAUAAGCUGAAGCAACAUUCCUGAUGCAUGGAGCCUCAGUCUUUCCUUUUGACCAGAACCGCUGGUGUUUUGUUUCUAUCUGAGAGCAGGGAGACUGAUAUCAAGCAGCAGCACACUGCCCAAAUGGCUGAAAUGAAAUGGUGUUAUUCCACUGGAAAAAUAUUGACUAUAAAAUCCUGACCUUGGAAAGUGGACCUGAAGAGAGACUCACAUUUAUUUCCAGUGUGUUGGAUGACUGUGACUCUAACUAAAUGGAACAAUGUCUUCAUCCAUUUUUGGUACUCAGGUUCUCUUCCUGCUUCUCUGUUAUGUUUUGAAGCAACUGAGAGACCCUCAACAGAGGCCAAACAGAUGUAGCCACUCAUCUUAGAAUUUUGGCCUCCAAAACUGUUUCAAGUGGGUUGCCACCACAGAUAUGCAGCAUUCUGGGAACAAUGGAUGGGUCAAAGUGAAACCCAUCAGGAAGCACCAUUUCUCACCCAAAAUGGCCACAGGUUAGAAAGGAAAUUCAAUCAAGGCACGUCAGAAUUUUUCACUAGAUAUUUUCCAAUGGUUUCUGGAACGAUAGAAAUCCUCUCUCACCUUAAGAAAUAAGAACUCGAAACUGGGUGAGGCAGCUACCUUUCCUCUCUAGGGGAGAAAGCCAGUUGCAAACAAAAGAAACAAGGCUGACCAACAAAAAGAAGAUUCACAAACUUCCAUGUCACUGGCAUCCUCAAAACUUCACGGUGCUCUUUGUAACAAUGAAGUUACUCAGCCCUGGUGAAUUUUUCUCUAGGAAGUCUGGUGUGACCCUUCCAGGAUUGAUUUAGGCUCUACUUUCCAUAUUUCUACAGAACUCGUGUCUAUCUCUGUUGUAGCAUGGACCACUGUACCGUGAGUUACCAAUCGCUCUUCUGUCUUCACUACUGGUCCAUUAGAGCCAGAGAGCUGGCUUUGACUUUCAGUUCCUGCUACUUCUUGUGCUGAACAUUUCUUUGUCUCUGCGACAAAAACAUGUUAUUUUUGUCUCACAGCAGUCCAUAGGUAUGCCAUAAUAGUUAAAAUUUUAUUUUGAUGUGUCUUUAUGGUUGUUUUGAUUGCUCUGUUUAAGAUUUGGUGACUUCAGUCCAUCCACA